AUGCUGGUGACUCUCUGUGCUCUCAUCACUGCUCUAACAUGUGUGAGUGGUGUGACGGUGGUGACACAGAAACCUCCUGUUUUAUCAGUGAGGAAAGGAGAGACGGCCACCAUGGACUGUAACCUGGGGACUGUUACUAAUGCUGUUGCUGCCUGGCAUAAAAAGAUUCCAGGAGGAAGUCCUCAGCAUGUGCUGUAUUUUUAUCAUAGCUAUACUUCUCCAUACUAUGGCUCUGGGUUCUCCUCUUCAAAAUUCACAUCCACUCAUCAGUCAACAUCAGAUUAUCGUUUGAUCAUCAACAAUGUGGAGGAGGGAGACUCUGCAGUCUAUUACUGUCAGACAUGGGACGGCUCUGCUAGCAGUGGGGUAUCACAGUGA